UAGAACAACCAUACCAACAUGACAGCACCGCUUAUUCCUGUCUGCUCAAUGAAGUUAAGCUUGUUUGGGCCCAGUUGGUACUAUGGUGGGGGACCACGUUGGAAUCCUGGGUAUUGUUCACC
rnacentral:rRNA from 1 species